AUAUUAUAGAACAAGAUGGCCAACUCUUCAAAAUCCCAUAUUAGCACCUGGCGAACAGAAUCAUUCAACUGGAACGCCAGCUGGUGAUGAAAAAUCGAAUUUGUUUAUUGGAAAUGAUCGCAGUAGCUCUGGUUUUGGUCUGCCGCAAAAAUGUCACACGUCUGCGUAAAAGUUUAUGGGUGAGAAUUGUGAUGACUGAUUUCAUUGAGUUGAGAAGCAGGAUAUCGGCGAACAGGAACCAAAUAUCGAAAUACUAUAUAUUACUUCCGCUUCCUAAUCACGGAACAACUUCUUAUGUGAGGCCGGGUACCGUUAAAACAAAAAAAAAUGAAUCCCUCGCGUGAGACCGUGGACUAAUCCGGGGGCUAUCAUCAGAACUUCUGGAGAAGGCGUAGUUACUGAUCUAGAUCCUGGAGUAUUUUUCUUGGUGGAUUAUUGGAGACCAAGGAGUGGACACCCUGAUUCUUGAUUCCCCACCUCACAGAAAUUUGUUUCAUUGAUUUUGAACAGUUGCAUAUAAGAAUUUAUACCUACACAUUAAUAAAUGAAUUGUUUCAUUUAAAAUUUCAUUAUUAUUAAUCGUAAAUUUCAUUAUCAAAAUAAAUCACCUAUAUUAAAAGAAUAUAUUUCUUCUAAGGAUAUCUUAGCGUGUUACUCAGCGGACCGAGCUCUGUUCCGUAGCUGGAGGAAUCUUUUAUGCUAACCAGAGAUUCUUGUCUUGAUGUUAUUGAAGUAUGUUGAUGUAUAGGAGCAGUCCCGCGACCAUGAUCUUGUGCAACGAUAAGCCCUUCAAACCUUGCCUCAGAUGGUGUGCACAGAUGGUGCUUACAAUCUAAAAAUGUUAUUUUUUUCAGUUCAUUUAAAUAUAUGGGUUGCACUGCUAUGAAAUAACCACAAAGUAACGAAACAAUGCUGGUUUUUAA